GAUGAACGCUGGCGGCGUGCCUAAUACAUGCAAGUCGAGCGAACAGACGAGGAGCUUGCUCCUCUGUCGUUAGCCGCGGACGGGUGAGUAACACGUGGAUAAUCUACCUAUAAGACUGGGAUAACUUCGGGAAACCGGAGCUAAUACCGGAUAAUAUAUCGAACCGCAUGGUUCUAUAGUGAAAGACGGUCUUGCUGCUACUUCUAGAUGGAUCGGCGCCGCAUUAGCUACUUGGUAAGGUGAGGGCAUACCAAGGCAACGAUGCGUAGCCGACCAGGGGGGGUGAACGGCGACGCUGGAACUGAGACACGGUCCAGACUAAUACGGGAGGCAGCAGUAGGGGAUGUUCGGCAUGGGGCAAGAGCAUGACGAUGAAGCGCCGCGUGAGUGAUGAAGGUCUUCGGAUCGUAAAGAUCUGUUAUUGGGGACGAACAAGUGUGUAAGUGACUGUAAACGUCUUGACGGUACCUAAGGAGAAAGGCACGGCUAACUACGUG
rnacentral:rRNA from 1 species